ACGUAGGGGGCAAGCGUUAUCCGGAUUUACUGGGUGUAAAGGGAGCGUAGACGGAGCAGCAAGUCUGAUGUGAAAGGCAGGGGCUCAACCCCUGGACUGCAUUGGAAACUGUUGAUCUUGAGUACCGGAGAGGUAAGCGGAAUUCCUAGUGUAGCGGUGAAAUGCGUAGAUAUUAGGAGGAACACCAGUGGCGAAGGCGGCUUACUGGACGGUAACUGACGUUGAGGCUCGAAAGCGUGGGGAGCAAACAG
rnacentral:rRNA from 1 species